rnacentral:rRNA from 1 species
GACGAACGCUGGCGGCGUGCCUAACACAUGCAAGUCGAGCGAUGAAAUCCCUUCGGGGAUGGAUUAGCGGCGGACGGGUGAGUAACACGUGGGUAACCUGCCUCAAAGAGGGGGAUAGCCUCCCGAAAGGGAGAUUAAUACCGCAUAACAUUAGUUUUUCGCAUGAAGAACUAAUUAAAGGAGUAAUCCGCUUUGAGAUGGACCCGCGGCGCAUUAGCUAGUUGGUGAGGUAAAGGCUCACCAAGGCGACGAUGCGUAGCCGACCUGAGAGGGUGAUCGGCCACAUUGGAACUGAGACACGGUCCAGACUCCUACGGGAGGCAGCAGUGGGGAAUAUUGCACAAUGGGCGAAAGCCUGAUGCAGCAACGCCGCGUGAGUGAUGAAGGCCUUCGGGUUGUAAAGCUCUGUCUUUUGGGACGAUAAUGACGGUACCAAAGGAGGAAGCCACGGCUAACUACGUGCCAGCAGCCGCGGUAAUAC